rnacentral:tRNA from 1 species
GGAGACAUAGCUCAGCUGGGAGAGCGAGCGACUGAAGUUCAGUCAUCAGACUCUUUCGAGAGAUCAUCGCUAGGUCGGGUGUUCGAUCCACCCUGGCUCCA